AACCGCCGUAUACGGUCCCGUACGUACGGUGGUGUGGGAGGACGGGAGCGAAAGCUCCCUCCUACCCGAU
rnacentral:ncRNA from 1 species